rnacentral:rRNA from 1 species
UACAGAGGUCUCAAGCGUUGUUCGGAAUUACUGGGCGUAAAGGGCUCGUAGGCGGCCAACUAAGUCAGACGUGAAAUCCCUCGGCUUAACCGGGGAACUGCGUCUGAUACUGGUUGGCUUGAAUCGGGAGAGGGAUGUGGAAGUUCCAGGUGUAGGCGGUGAAAUGCGCAGAUAUCAGGAGGAACACCGGUGGCGAAGGCGGGUCUCUGGGCCGAUACUGACGCUGAGGAGCGAAAGCGUAGGGAGCGAACAGG